rnacentral:tRNA from 1 species
UUUAGCUCAGUGGCAUAAGCGCCUGCCUUACAAGCAGGCAAUUGUGAGUUCGAUCUGACAA